rnacentral:RNase_P_RNA from 1 species
ACUACAAACCGGGUUAUCGCUCUUCUUUUAAAGGAAGGGAGGAAAGUCUGGACAGCACAGAGCAUUGCACCGGUGAAUAGCCGGGUCUUGUGAAAGCAAGAACAGAUAGUGCCACAGAAAAUAACUGCCUGUUCUUUCUUCGGAAAGGGCAGGUGAGGAUGAAAACGUGAGGUAAGAGCUCACGAUUAUUACUGGUAACAGUAAUAGUGGGUAAACCUUGCAUGCUGAAACGCCACGUAUACCAUCGCUUAAGGGUGACUCGCCCGAUGAUGGAGGGUAGGCGGAUUGAUUCUGAUAUGCAAAUAUCAGAACAGAUAAAUGAUAGCCACCUGGGAAACCGGGGACAGAAUCCGGCUUAUAGGUUUGUAGUAUUU